AACCUGGUUGAUCCUGCCAGUAGUCAUACGCUCGUCUCAAAGAUUAAGCCAUGCAUGUCUAAGUAUAGAUACUUUUACUUUGAAACUGCGAACGGCUCAUUAUAUCAGUUAUAGUUUAUUUGAUAGUCCCUUACUACUUGGAUAACCGUAGUAAUUCUAGAGCUAAUACAUGCAUCAAUACCCAACUGUUCGCGGACGGGUAGUAUUUAUUAGAUAGAAACCAACCCUCUUCGGAGGCGCUCAGGUGAUUCAUGAUAACUCUGCGAAUCGCAUGGCCUCGUGCCGGCGAUGGAUCAUUCAAGUUUUCUGCCCUAUCAGCUUUGGAUGGUAGGGUAUUGGCCUACCAUGGCUUUAACGGGUAACGGAUAAUUAGGGUUAGAUUCCGGAGAGGGGGCCAUGAGAGAUGGCCACCACAUCCAAGGA
rnacentral:rRNA from 1 species